GGAGAACCCCCACUUGCGCGGUAACACAAUCACAACCAGAGCUUCAGUUCAGAAAAUAAGACAUCCACUCCCAAGCUACAGAGGGCCAGUCGUCUGGUGAGUGCAGCCUCCCCAAAGGCCUUCUCUUUCUUACGCAAAACAAGCUCACAAACACUUGAGAAGACCCCUGAGUCGCAACUCAACCUAAACAGGAAAACAACAAAUUGGCCUAAUAUCUACAGUAACCUUCAGUAGAUUUUAAGUUUCGCUGUCUAUCUUGCCAUCUCUUCUCUGAGCCUCUUGGGACUCUGUCAUGAGCAGCCUGGACUCUUGCAGACCUGUGCUUCUGUAUCUCCGUGGACCGAGAACACAAUUGUUAAAAGAUUAAAAUAAUAGCAGCCCUGGCUGAGUGAGCUGAGAAGUUUUGUUCUUAUUUCGACAAAUUGAAAUCUGACAAGAAUGGAUAUGGGAGAAGACAGAGAGCCAGCAAGAUAGAAUGAGUUUGUGAUCGUAAAAGGACUUCAACCAGCACUGCUAACCAAGGGCUUAGAAAGAGUUUGAUCUACAGGCAUGGGAUCCCACACAAAAUUUCACUGGACCAAGACACCCAUUAUACAGCAAAGGAGGUGAGCAGUGGGCACAUGACCAUGGUAUCCACAGUCCUAUCAUGUACUCCACCACCCACGGGCUGCUGGACUGACAGAGCACUGGAACAAUCUGUUGAAGGGUCAGCUGAGGUGCCAUCUUGGAGAGGAUGCCCUGUCCAGAUGGACCGCUAUCCUCUAAGAUGUAGUAUAUACCUCAAAUUGUUAAAUAUUAGAUGGUGCUGUGUUUUCAAGACCCAGGAAGCAAGAAGCAGAAGUAAAAAUGACCUUGCUUAUCAUCGGCCCCAGUGACUCCUUUAGAGAAUUUGUGCUUCCCUUCUCUUUAACUCUGGAUUCUGACAUUUUAUAGUCUUGUUUCUUAGAGAGUGAAUGGGUCCACCAAAGAACACAGCAAGGUUCUAUUAAGAUAAUUAAUAGGAUUAAGCUCCUGCUCGGUUACUUCAAAGAUCUUGUCCCAAGAGACCAAUAGGCAAGGAAAGUAGUCACCAUACUGGCAUGAACAAUUGACCUUGACCUUCAGGCAGAGGUAGAGCUGCUCGUACACACUAGGGGCAGGGAAGAAUAUAUUUGGCACUCAAGUGAUCCACUUGGGUUGCUCUUGGUAACCGUUGCCCAAUUUUGUUGGUAAAUGUGGCAGCAACACCACCUGGGAAGGUUAUGGUGACCAGUGGCCCGUGGCCACUCUUAUCCAGAGAUAAAACGUCUGUAUCACCUCAGCAGCCCAGCCAGCUAGACCAGCAGAGGUGCUGGUUGAGGGCGAAGAGACUCUAGAACAGAUGGUGGAAGCCUGGCAGAAAGACUGUCUGUUACUGCCUCAAGGUCAGUGCAGUGG
rnacentral:lncRNA from 1 species